ensembl:rRNA 5S_rRNA 5S ribosomal RNA
GUUUACUACCAUACCUCCCUGAACAUGCCCAAUCUUAAAUGAUCUCAGAAGCUAAGCAGGGUCAGACCUGGCUAGUACUUGAUUGGGAAAUGUAUUAAGUGCUCAGUAAGGAAUAAAUA